ensembl:lncRNA
GCGUAAUUACCAUCACGGGCGGAAAAAGCAGGUUGGGGUCAGGAGGGGUCACAGUGAGGUCAGAUCUGGGGACAGAUCUGGAGGGGAACAACAGAGAUCCCCUCUCCGGGGCCCUGCAGCACAAAAACACCCCCACAGUGUGGGAAAGGGCCCGGGUGGAUCCCUCACCAUCAUCCUCCUGGCCUGGGAACCUGCCGGUGGGUUCCAGCAAGCCAAAAAGGAAAAAUAGAAGGGAAAUAGGAGGGGGCAUCCCGGUUACCACAGCAUCCUCCAUGUUCAGAUGUUGUUGCAGUUCCUGUAUUGCCAGAUCCUGGAGAGGAGUUAAAGGAAACCACAGCCUGGUGCUGAGAGCAGAUUGAGAUCUUGUGGCUGCUGCAGGAAGCCUGCUCCCAGGUAUCUUCCAGCAGAGAGCAUACAGCCUGCAGCAAGUUCCUAAGCUGGCAGGUGCCUUGUUCCAUCCCAGGCUCAUGGUUAUCACAGCUGCUUGCUGUCUAGGGCAGCCUCACACUGGAGAAAGUGAUGGGAGAAAGCAGCCGGGGUGACACACAGCAGUGUGUGCACGGCAUGGCCACACACCGUGCAGCAUGCUAGGCAUCCCCCCACAAGCAGACCAGUAUGGUGGAUGAGAACGUGGCUUUGGAGCUAAUGGGACUGAGCCAAGCACCGAGAGCUGACCCUGCUCUCACCUCCAUGGCUCUGAGCGUUGUGGAUGCAGAAGAUAUCCCUGCUGUGUCCACCCUCUGAGCUGAGGGACCACAUCGAUGCUACUGCACAGAGCAGGAGGCACCUGGCCAAGCAGGGAUGGUGAAUGGAGCAGCGUGGAGCACGCGGUCGGUGACUCAGCUGUGACCUGGCUGCACCAACCCCAGCCUUUCGCAACGUGUUUACCAGGAUGCAGGCAGCCUUUGCUGCGCAUGAAGGGCGGCCUCAGCCCCAAACCUGCUCGCCAGGCUCCCCACCCCACACUGCUCUGCUCCUGUAAGUGAUGCCCGUGCUGAGGUCAGGCAGCGUCCUCCCAGCGCAGCCAAAAUCAUCCUAAACACAGCCCCGUGGGAGGUGGUGGCACACUGUGGUGGUGUAUCAUUGCAGGGAGGAUGGCAGAAAUUCCCCUGCUUUCCUGAUGCCCUUUGCUGAGCUGUGUCCCAGCCACUCCCACCUCCUGCAGCUCUCACGUCCGUGUCCCAGGUGGGCAGAGCACAGAAAACCAUGGGCAAAUCCCUUCUGACAGAGGAUUUUGGAGCAAAAGGCAUAGUUUUGAAAGUUUUCCCUGGAGGAAAGCCAAGGGCAACAGAUCCGAGCCAUAUUCUGUUUUGUUUCUACAUCUUGUGGAGUCUGAGAUGGGAAAUGGCGGUGCCCCAAAGUCCUGGAGGGGGUGAAUGCAGAUUUGUGAUUGCAGCGCUGCCAGGGAUGAGCAAAAAUCGGCCAUCAGCGCUCCUGCAGCCACCGAGACUGAGCCCACCCAUGGGCAGGACAUGUGGGGACCCCACGAAAGAGGUCUGAGGUCCAUCAGGCAAUUCUGGCACGGCCACACCGAUCCUUGCUGCACUGCGCGCCGCAGAGCACUGCAGAGCGAUGCUACCAUUUCCAAGAGUGCUGCUUGUGUGUGACCACAAGGACUCUGCCCAGAUGCCCAUUUUCCAGUAGCUAAACUUAAAUCUCAGCUCCUGGUUGAGCAAACCGUGUGUGCCCACAUCCCGCCGGGCUCUCUGCUGGCGGCUCUCCACGUCGUGUCAGCUCCCAGCGCCAACGGCUGAGGAGGGACGUGUGUCACUGCAUUGUCCCCGGGAUAUUUAGUGCUGCCCCGUGCGGUUACCCGGCACGGCUCAGGCUGGCAGCAGCUCUCACUGCAGGCACAG